rnacentral:rRNA from 1 species
CCUACGGGAGGCAGCAGUCGAGAAUUAUUCACAAUGGGGGAAACCCUGAUGGUGCGACGCCGCGUGGGGGAAUGAAGGUCUUCGGAUUGUAACCCCCUGUCAUGUGGGAGCAAAUUAAAAAGAUAGUACCACAAGAGGAAGAGACGGCUAACUCUUUGCCAGCAGCCGCGGUAAUACAGAGGUCUCAAUCGUUGUUCGGAAUCACUGGGCGUAAGGCGUGCGUAGGCUGUUUUGUAAGUCGUGUGUGAAAGGCGCGGGCUCAACCCGCGGACGGCACAUGAUACUGCGAGACUAGAGUAAUGGAGGGGGAACCGGAAUUCUCGGUGUAGCAGUGAAAUGCGUAGAUAUCGAGAGGAACACUCGUGGCGAAGGCGGGUUCCUGGACAUUAACUGACGCUGAGGCACGAAGGCCAGGGGAGCGAAAGGGAUUAGAUACCCUAGUAGUC